AGUGAACGCUGGCGGCGUGCUUAACACAUGCAAGUCGAACGAGAACGGAUUAUAGCUUGCUAUAAUUGUCAGCUAAGUGGCGCACGGGUGAGUAAUGUAUAGGUAAUAUGCCUCUUACUAAGGGAUAACAAAUGGAAACGUUUGCUAAUACCUUAUACUCCUUAUUAACAGAAGUUAAUAAGGGAAAGAUUUAUUGGUAAGAGAUUAGCCUGUAUUGUAUCAGUUAGUUGGUGGGGUAAUGGCUUACCAAGACUAUGACACAUAAAUGGUUUGGGAGGAUGAUCGGUCACACUGGAACUGAGACACGGUACAGACUCCUACGGGAGGCAGCAGUGGGGAAUAUUGCACAAUGGACGGAAGUCUGAUGCAGCAACGCCGCGUGGAGGAUGACACAUUUCGGUGCGUAAACUCCUUUUAUAUGAGAAGAUAAUGACGGUAUUAUAUGAAUAAGCACCGGCUAACUCCGUGCCAGCAGCCGCCGUAA
rnacentral:rRNA from 1 species